UACGUAGGUGGCAAGCGUUGUCCGGAUUUACUGGGCGUAAAGAGCGCGCAGGCGGUCGUUCAAGUCGCGUGUGAAAGCCCCCGGCUCAACUGGGGAGGGUCACGCGAUACUGAUCGACUCGAAGGCAGGAGAGGGAAGUGGAAUUCCCGGUGUAGUGGUGAAAUGCGUAGAGAUGCGGCGGAACACCGAUGGCGAAGGCAGCCCCCUGGGCGUGAGAUUGACGCUCAGGCACGAAAGCGUGGGGAGCAAACAGG
rnacentral:rRNA from 1 species